AUACGUAGGGGGCGAGCGUUGUCCGGAAUGAUUGGGCGUAAAGGGCGCGUAGGCGGCUUUGCAAGUCAGCAGUGGAAGUCCAUUUUUCAAGGAUGGAAGUGCUACAGAAACUGCGGAGCUUGAGUGCAGGAGAGGUUAUCGGAAUUCCCGGUGUAGCGGUGAAAUGCGUAGAGAUCGGGAGGAACACCAGUGGCGAAGGCGGGUAACUGGACUGCAACUGACGCUGAGGCGCGAAAGUGUGGGGAGCAAACAGGAUUAGAUACCCUGGUAGUCCACACUGUAAACGAUGAAUGCUAGGUGUAGGAGGUAUCGACCCCUUCUGUGCCGCAGUAAACACAGUAAGCAUUCCGCCUGGGGAGUACGGUCGCAAGAUUAAAACUCAAAUGAAUUGGCGGGG
rnacentral:rRNA from 1 species